CCAAUUCUCAUAAAGAUUAGGUAGCAGAGAUGGUUAAAGAUGCUAUUAUUUGAGUUUCAUUUGUUGGGUGCCCUGGGUUUGAGUCAUGGGUAUAUCAGUUCUGGUUCAAAUUUUUUUUUCUUGCUUCUAGCCUGCCAAAUGUCAAGCACGGCCCUGCGUGUACAGUUUUAGCUAAAACUAUCGUGUAUGUAUUUUGUUUUCUGACUCAACCUUUUGAGUUUUUUUUUUAAAUAUAUUUUUUAGGAAUCUGACUGAUGGAAAAAUAUCAAGCAAACUUGGACAAUCAAAACUGAUAAAGUAAUGUUACGUAGCUCCGAUCUUAUGGGGAUUUGCAUAGAGUUAUUCUUGGGUUCACCCCCUAGGGUGAACCUCUAGGUUCACCAACCAAUAGGAUUUCAUUAUUUCAAAUUUGAUAUCUUUUAGAAAAAGAAACAAAAUAUUGUCAAGAUAUAUUAUAUUUUAAAAAUAAAAAAGGUUAAAAAAAUUUAAAAAAAAAAUAAUAGUUAGAGGAAAACGAGUUUAAAAAAAAUAAUAUUUUUAUCGUCGUCAGCAAAACACUAAACCCUAAAUCCUAAUCCCUAAACCCUAAAUCAUAAACCCUAUAAACCCUUGGACAAAUUUUAAACCCUUGGAUAAUUCAUACUCUAAAUCAAAAACACUAAAUCCUAAAACCCUAAACCCUAAACCCUUGAGUGUUUAGUGUUUUUGAUUUGGAGUUUAAGAUUUAUCCAAGGGUUUAGGGUUUACCUAAGGGUUUAGGAUUUAGAGUUUAGGGAUUAGGGAUUAGGAUUUAGGGUUUAGUAUUUUGCUGAGGACGUUAAAAAUAUAUUUUUUUAAUUACUACUUUUUUUAA
rnacentral:lncRNA from 1 species